UACGGGGGGGGCAAGCGUUGUCCGGAAUCACUGGGCGUAAAGGGCGCGUAGGCGGCCAUGCGUGUCUUCCGUGAAAUCCCUCGGCUCAACCGAGGACGUGCGGAAGAAACUGCAAGGCUCCGGAGUCCGGGAAAGAGGGGGGGCGGAAUUCCCAGUGUAGCGGAUGAAAUGCGUAGAUAUUGGGAGGAACACCAGUGGCGAAGGCGGUCCCCUGGGCCGGAACUGCACGCUGAGGCGCGAAAAGCGUGGGUAGCAAACGGGG
rnacentral:rRNA from 1 species